rnacentral:rRNA from 1 species
UACGUAGGGUGCAAGCGUUGUUCGGAUUUACUGGGCGUAAAGGGCGCGUAGGCGGUCAGCACAAGUCAGUUGUGAAAUCUCCGGGCUUAACUCGGAAAGGUCAACUGAUACUGUGCGACUAGAGUGCAGAAGGGGGCAACUGGAAUUCUCGGUGUAGCGGUGAAAUGCGUAGAUAUCGAGAGGAACACCUGAGGCGAAGGCGGGCUACUGGGCCGAUACUGACGCUGAUGCGCGAAGGUCAGGGGGAGCAAACGGGG